rnacentral:lncRNA from 1 species
CUCUGUGCGUGGGUUCUGGUCGAUCGAACAGAAGAGCAGGACAAGGGUUGAAACCCUAGCAUCAAGAAAUCAAGCAAUUUAACUUGAAUCAAAGGAAAAAUUCAAUGCAUGAUCCCCUAAACUCGAGCGUGAAGGAAGAAAGUUCCAAUACUAGGAAAUCGGAAAGUUCACAAGAUCGAGGUAAAUCCUCACUUUAGGCGACUUGGCAAUUUGGAGCGAGCUUAUGCACACAUUAUGACCAUCAAGCGCUUUCGUUAUUUCGUAUUAAUGUUUUGGGUCAAAAAACUCGUUUUGAAUAACCUUGUUAGUCGUUGCACUUUUUAACACUUGAUGUUAUGGUUUUUAGUCGUGUCCAGUCGAACGGGUUGUAGACUUAUUUGUUUUGAUGGUGGUUAAAACAGGGAUAUACUCGUCUUAUGGAUGGGUCAUGCCCAAAUUUUGUUAAAAUUGUGCAUAAAUGAUAUUAGUAAUGUUGCCUUAAAUUGCGAAAAGUUGGACGCUUUUAAAAAUUUAUGUUUCUAGUGGUUUUGGUCGUCAUUU